rnacentral:rRNA from 1 species
GGGAAUCUACCUUUUGCUACGGAACAACAGUUGGAAACGACUGCUAAUACCGUAUGUGCCCCCCUUUAAAAUUUCAGGAUACAUAAAAUGCCCUGGCAUUUUAUGGGGGGGAAAGAUUUAUCGGCAAAGGAUGAGCCCGCGUUGGAUUAGCUAGUUGGUGAGGUAAAGGCUCACCAAGGCGACGAUCCAUAGCUGGUCUGAGAGGAUGAUCAGCCACACUGGGACUGAGACACGGCCCAGACUCCUACGGGAGGCAGCAGUGGGGAAUAUUGGACAAUGGGCGCAAGCCUGAUCCAGCCAUGCCGCGUGAGUGAUGAAGGCCCUAGGGUUGUAAAGCUCUUUCACCGGUGAAGAUAAUGACGGUAACCGGAGAAGAAGCCCCGGCUAACUUCGUGCCAGCAGCCGCGGUAAUACGAAGGGGGCUAGCGUUGUUCGGAUUUACUGGGCGUAAAGCGCACGUAGGCGGAUUUUUAAGUCAGGGGUGAAAUCCCGGGGCUCAACCCCGGAACUGCCUUUGAUACUGGAAGUCUUGAGUAUGGUAGAGGUGAGUGGAAUUCCGAGUGUAGAGGUGAAAUUCGUAGAUAUUCGGAGGAACACCAGUGGCGAAGGCGGCUCACUGGACCAUUACUGACGC